UUGAUAGAAGCUAAUUUAGCACUUUAUUGUUACUAAAGACUUAGAGAAUUAUGUUUCUCCUAUUAAG
rnacentral:tRNA from 1 species